rnacentral:tRNA from 1 species
UCUCUGGUGGUCCUAGCAGUUAAGGAUCCAGCAUUGUCACUGCUGUGGCACAGGUUCAAUUCCUGGCCCAGGAA